GGAACUGAGAGCACAUUAAAAACAUAAACAUACUGGAAUGGUCUGUGAAAACACUGUGAGCCUAAGCCAUCCAGAUAAGCAAGUACUUAGAUAAGUACUUGGAUAUCUAAGUUGUAUUUAAGACAGCAGUGUAAAAGGAAUUAGGCUUAUCAUGUAUUAAGGAAGGGUGUUUUUUAUUAGAUGUUUCCUAGGUUCUCCUUGAGGUGUUGCAAUCAUUAGUUUCAUUUUACUUACAUUUUACUUAAGAUUAUUGCAUCUAGUCUAUUGUUCACAUUACCAAAAUAAAGAUUUUAUCUAAUUUUAUAUCUGGCAUUGUGACAGUGCAACUGAUAUUUGCCAGUGAAAAACAAAGCAAUCUUUUUUUUUUUGUGGCAAGCUGUGCAAGAGUGCUAAUACCUGGUGCAGUGCUCUGUUUGCACCUUUAUCCAGGUUCCAAAAUCACACCACCACAUCACCCACUAAGACUCGUGUACUAAACAAACCUGAAUUGACAGAAUGUGUUGGUACCAGUCAGGAUUUUAUGUCACACUGCAUUUUUCAUCCUGCUCUACACACCUUAAAGUUGGACUUAUCAGUGAAUUAAGCUUAUAUUGCAUUCUCUCGAUGUUUAACGUGUCUAAGUGGUACAAAUUAACAGCUAACAUUUAUAAAUACUGGUUUUAAAUAAUCCCUUAUAAAAAAGCAACUUUUUUUUUGUGCUUAUUAAAUUAGGUUGGUGGAAGACUGGUAUCAUCAGGCUAAAGAAGCAAAAAUAGUCCUGUAGAACAAGUUCUGAGUUCUCUCCUUCUCCCUCAGCAGAAAGAGGCAGAGAAACAGUUUGUAGGGUGAGAUAUAGAGAAGUCCUUGGCAAAUGUCAUCAACCCACCCAGAAAUAAAUAGCUCUGAGACAGUACAGUAACUCAUUUCUUAUGAAAAAGUACAGGAGCAAGCAGAACAUGUAUGAAUUCACACAAUUUCACCUAUCAUUACAUCAACUAGGCUAAGGCUGGAGGCUCAAGACUAUUGUAUCUGCCUCAAGAAAAGAAGGGAAGUGUCAGAUGCUGGCAGUGGUCCAUGGGUCAGUGGAGGUGAUGAUCCCCACUACAGCCACCCAGUGUUCAGCUACUGUAAGCUGGCAGAUUUGCUCACACCAGCACAGCCGCGCUGGUUACCCCAGCUGAAAAUCUGUGAACACCCAGAUUUCACGCAGAGGAGUUUGAGGUAGAGCAUCAUCGGCCAGCUACAAAUCAUCCAGUACUGCAAACCAGAGAUUCAGCUGUUGAAGAGAUCCGCUCUUCAUCAGAAGAGACUGCAAAUUUGCCCCAAAGCCAGCUUGUGCAGUGGCUGCCAAAAGCAGCCUGGAAAUGAAAAGAAACUAAUGGUGCGCAGAUCCAGCAAAGGAAUACACCAUUUUGGUAGCAAUAUGAAAAACUGCAGUAGCUUUGGUCAGCCAGAACAUGCUGUCCAAAGCUACUGGGGAUCCCUGGAAUGCACUUAUAUUCCUGGUAGUGCAUUUUGGAUAGAUUACAGCAAUAAAUUUGUGUGCCAGUAUUUCUGACUUUCGCUGUAUCAACAUAACUUCAAUUUUUUCAGCUCCCCACAGAUCCCUAGGAAGUGAGAAGGUGAGUGAGACUGACCUGUAGCACAUGCAAUGCGUAUCCUGUAAUACUGAGCAAUCACGAAUCUAGAGUGAAGUAUGGGAUUUUCUUUAUUUCCAUUAGUCUACUAUACAUUUCCCCAGAAGGCUUUGCAGAGUGCAAGUUACUAUCAGGGCAUGCUCCAAAUACGAACCAGUUUCCACUUGCAGGGCUAAGAUUGAAGGAAGAUAGCAUGAAACUAGCAAACAGAAUUAUUUAACAAAAAUACUGGGAAGACAAGAUGGAGGGCAAUUUUCAAAGCUUCCUUGAUACAGGUUACAAUUGUACAGAGGGUUGUUAAGUACAUUAAAAAGACUGAAACCUGUAAAUUUUGUAAAGAACAGUAACCAAAGGCAAAGGAUAUGAGAUUGGGAAAUUUCCCAAGUGGAGGCUGAAUGGAGACAUGCUACUGAAAUCUAUUUCAAUGCAUGGCUGUAAGCCUACAAACUGCCAUAAAUUACAACAGCUGCUAUAACAGAACAGUGAUAAAAUGAAAUCAUUGGGUAGGCUUGUUUCUGGCUUCCAACACGAGGCAGAAGCACUACCACAAGAACUCUAUCAGCAGCAUUUUCUGUACAUUAUACAAAAUACUUACAUAAAGCUGUUAUGUACUAGAAGAGCCACGGUUAUUACUAUGCACACAUUCUUUUUCCUGCUGUCUUCAUUUCCCCCUUCAUGUUAGAACCAAGCUUUUUGCUCUGCUUUUAUGGUGUCCAGAGUAUUUAAACAGCGUGAUAGCAUAUAACAAUAGAAAUUCUGCAUUCAAACCACUUUCUUCUUGCGUCCACCCCCUACCUUAAAAAUUUGUGAGAAUUGAAAACACAACAUUGAAACAAGUCAGGUUAGACACAAAAAGCAACAUGAGCACUAACAGUGAGAGGAUGAGGCAGGGUCAUGUUCUUCUGCUUAGUAUUCACAAGUGCGUUGUCUGUCAGCAGAUGUUUGGGUUUUAACAUGUAGGACAUCAAUGUGUUGCUUUGGUUCAAUACUAACAGGUUCACAAGCUACGGCAGAGCAGAAGCAGUCCCCAUUUUACAUUCACCAACUAUAGGCAGUCAAAAGGAAAAUGCCACGUACAUUAAUGGUAACCAACACCCUCUCCAAAAUUUACAAAACAGUCAAAUCUCCUGCUUUCACAGGUGAUGAAGUGAGAUACAGAAUGAUGAAGCACUUGAGCAGUCAGAGACACAGAUAAAUCUGUAAAUUUACUGACAUGCCUUUUCCCCCUAAGCCAGUACCCUACUGACUUUACCCUGCUGCUCCAUGACAAUUUACAAAAGCUUAGGUCUCGAUUGUGUGUUCAUUACGAAACAAGGAGGUGGAAGUAGUCAAGCUGUGUCACGUUUCUGAAGUGCUGGGGGUCUGCUCAAGUGAGGCAGCAAUUGUAACCAUGCUGACUUUUUGCUUGGAUCUAGGAAUCGUGGUGGUGGCCUGUUCUCUCUCUCUCCUGUUUCUUACCAGUUGCCUCAGUACGACAACAUGGAGCCUGCAACAUGGCUGGAAGCAAGGAGGGGAAAAGGAGGAGCACACUCCAGCUGGGGGGAGAAGUGACUGAGUGGGUUGGGGGCAAGAACAGAAAAGCAGUACGGGAAGCUAAAGGAACGCAGUCUGGAAAGGUAAAAAAAAAAUAGAAGGCCACCAUGCCUCUUGAUUCAGUGAUGCUUAUCUAUCAGAGGAGGGGAUGCUCAUCAUAAAUGUUUGAAAUCACUGUCAUCUAAAAUCAAACAAAAAGCAAGAAAAAAUGCCACAGAGAUAAGGGCCCUAAUUUUCUCCGCUUCACAUACUGCCAGCUGAUUAGCUGAAGCUACUUUAAUCAAAUUACAGACUUGUAAACAAGAGAUUCAGUCUGAGACCCUGAUUGUAUCAUGGAGGGCGAAAUAAGAAACAAAGAAACGACGAAGGGCAAGUAUACCACAGACAGCGAAGGUAACAAGCAGAGUAAACAGGUCUCAAUAAAAUGCACUUGUUCAUCAAUUCUUAUUCUGCUUAAGCACAAGCUUUUCCUUGGGGUUCCAUCAAGUGUUUUUCCUCUGUUGAAACGUAAAGACAUACACCAAGAUCAGGGGUACCUUGUUUUCUGCACUAUGGAAACACACAGCACUAAGAUCUCCUUUCAAAGGUACCUUUUUGUCAUUCAGGUACUUAAGGCUUUCUCAAAAGUAUGCACAAAAUGAAUUAAUUACAGCUCUCUCCUGAGACCCAACCUGGAGUACUGCGUUCAGCUCUGGGGCUCCCACAGCACAAGAAGGACAUGGAACUGUUAAAAGUGGGUCCAGAGGAGGGUCACAAAUACGAUCAGAGGGUUGGAGCACCCCUUCUACGAAGACAAGCUGAGAGUUGGGGUUGUUCACCCUGGAGAAGAGAAGGUUCCAGGAAGACCUUACAGCAGCCUUCCAGUACCUAAAGGGGGCCUACAGGAAAGCAGAAGAGGGACUCUUUCAGGGAGUGGAGUGAUUGGAUGGGGGUAAUGCUUUUAAACUAAAAGAGGGGAGAUUUCGGUUAGAUAUAAGGAAGAAAUUCUUCACUCAGAGGGCUGUGAGGCACUGGCACAAGUUGCCCAGAGAAGCUGCGGAUGCCCCAUCCCUGGAAGUGUUCAAGGCCAGGCUGGAUGGGGCUUUGAGCAACCUGGUCUGGUGGGAGGUGUCCCUGACCAUAGCAGGGGGGUUGGAACUAGGUGAUUUUUAAGGUCCCUUCCAACCCAAACCAUUCUGUGAUUCCACAGGUAUAUUCACCUACAGUUACAGAACUAUCAAAGAUCAUAUUAACUAAACCAUUAACAUGCAGCCAUGGCUACAGUAAAUCAUUAUCAGUAUAUCACAUUACUACAAUCUUUGUUUUUCCUCAAUACAUUUUCAGCCUUCCCUAGCAUCACAAAUUUCCACUAAAGCUCUGGGACAAAAAUCUUUGCCAUUAGACUUCUAAUGACAACUUCCAGAGUGUUUUUUUUUUUAAUGGGCUGUCUAACAGCAUCUAUCUACACAGAACUACUGAAGACUUCAGCGACAUUAAACAACUUCUAAUCCAUACCAUAAUGCAUAAGUUCUGUAAUAAACCCGUAUGUUUGUGGAUAUAUUGGCAUUUAGAAGAUGUAAAUAGUUAUAGACAGGGAAAGUUAAAAGUGACUGGUUUGUGUAUUUUAUGUAAACCUUAACUGCAUGAUUCAUAGUUAUAGUUUAGAUUGAUAGCCCAAUCCUGUGUUUAAAAAAUUUCAGUGGGCAGCAGUGAAUUUCAUGCUCACCUUCAGGAGGUGCAGACUUGUUUGUUGUGAAAUCAAGAGACAUGAUUACUAGAUUCUGUCUGGCUGCUUGACAGAUCACAAAUUGCUUGUAAUACUACUACAAGAUACCGGUAUCCUGGGGAUGUUUUCUGAAAGUGACUGUCCAAGCUACAUUCACCUCAAGUGUUUAUAACGUCACAUGUAGCACACUAAAAAAAAGCUACCCCUAAAGCAGUCACACUAGUCACCUAGCUUUUGCAGCAUGGUACAUAAGCAAGCAUUGACCUUCAAGCAUAUAUAUAAUUAGAAUUCUGGAAGAUACUUAAAUCAGCCUCAACAGAGUGUCAUUAUUGUUACAGCUUGCUUUCGAAGGACAGCAAACACGAGAAUGCUUGAAGUGGUCCACAGCUCAGGAAAAUCUGCCUUUCACAAACGUAUUAGUUUCUUCAAUGACAACUCUGGGAAAUCUGCUGUUAUUGGGAUGUUGAAACUGAGAUGCUGGGACAUGUUCAAGUCAUGUGGUAUGACUCCUAGAAUGACAACUGUAAGAGGUGAGCUAUUAACAUAUAAAGAAAAUACAAAUACUUACAGAUUUGGAUGCCCUUUCCUUAUCAAUACAUACUGCCUAUGAAUUCAUAGCACAGAGAUACAGUUUGAGACUGCUUAAAAAAAUAGCUGCCAAUGUAAAAUUGUAAUCAAAGCUUGGUUCUGCAGGGACUGGCAGGAAGCUUGCAGCUACUUGGCAUCUUCAUCAGUAAUUAACAUUAAAAUUACUGUUGAUAAAAAAAGCAAUGAGAAUAGGGAAAUGAUACAUAAGUAGUACUUGGUAAUAUAGUCCUUAACAAACAAAUGCUAACCCACACAUUUUAACCACAGUUCAAUGCAGCUGUUUAUCAGAAACAUUAUCCAAGAGACUGACUUCUGGAAUAACACAAUCACAGAAUCAGCUAGGUUGUAAGAGACCUCCAAGAUCACCGAGUCCAACCUCUGACCUAACACUAAAAUGGCCAGGGUAUCAAUAUCUCAAAUACCACGAAGUCUUGGUGCAGUGCUGUGGCAGAAAAACAUUAAUACAAUUUCUAGGCAUAUUUAUUUUUAUAUAUAUAAAGAGACAGUAGUGGGUAGAAAUACAAAGACUAUUUUAUUUCAACACAUGGCCUUGUAGAAACCAAAAAUAUUUCAAGCAAUACUGAGUUCAUAUUUUAAAGAGGAUGUUGUGAAAAAGGAGAUACAGAAAAGAGCUACAAAAAUAACUUGAGGAUUGAAGUAAGUAUCUUAGAGCAACACACGAUAAGUGAAUGUUUUAUCAAAUCAAAAAGAUUGAUGGGUGACUUCAUUACGGUGCUUCUUUGUAGGAAGAAAACACUGUUUAAAAAAGGCUCUUUACUCCAAUGGAAAAAGGAAGAACAAAGCAUUUUUCAUUUAUUUACUUAUUUUAAGAUAGAGUGAGGCCAAUUAACUAUUGGAACAAAUGAGCAGAAAGUAGUGGAGCCUUAUGACAUCUUUGAAAUGCACAUGGUAUUUAUUUAUUGUUGCAAAAAAGCUGCUGAGCUUUGUAUAAGACCUCUCUAGGAGGUACAGAGGAUUAAAUUACUUGGUCUAAUGAUCCCUCUGGUUUCAUGCAUUAUGAAUCUUUUUGUAACUUUCUAUUUCACAAGUGGUGCUACCUACCACUGAACAGGUUCACUGGCAGCCUUAGCCUUAAAACAUAUUGUUCCCUUGGUGUGCUGAGUACAUCAGUUCUGUAAUGCAUCAGAUUUCCAACCACCUGCCAAGAAUGUAAGUAGUCAACACACGAUUCCAACUAGCAUCUCCUUAACAACAAAUAGAGGCUUAAGUAGUAUUAAGCCUUCCUAAAAUGACUGCCUUAAACCUUAAGUGAAUCUGAAGACAGUACAGAAAUUUGUCUUUUGCUGAUCAGUAAGUUCAAACAUUUUUGCCAGCAGAACCACACUUGGAAAUGCAGUAGUUUUUAGAAGGUUUGCUAAGGAUCCCUCCAAAGCCACUAUCCCUCAUGCACACGGCUAGCAAUUUCCUGGGAUGCAUCUUGCGCCUAUGUUCAAAUACCUUAAUUGACUUGUGAGAGAGAUCUCUUAAGUUCAUCGCCUCGGUUUAAACCUCUUACUGCAGCAGCACUAAUUGAAAGAAAUAAAUAACAAAGAUCAGAAGUCCAAAGGUCAGCUGCAUUAACAACUGACUUGUAUGCAUCUCUCACAUACAAUCACACUGCCCUGGGCCAACAAAUACUUUUAAGGAGGUGAGGAUACGUAUCAGAGAAGUACCUUCCACAUUAUUUCAGACCUGUCAGCUUUCAAAAGGUAGAAGAAAAUGGGUUGCUUGCUUCCAUUUCUCUAACUUGACUUCUUUACAGCUUGGCAAUGGAGUAUCUGAGCUGGACUCUGUAGCUAAAACACUAGCUCAUAAUGCACCCAUUAGGAGGUAGGACAAAGCAGUUAGGUCUCGCUCCUUUUGUCUAUGUAAAAGGUUUCAGUAAAACUGGGUAGGUUAUCAUCAAGAUAAAAACUGGGUAGGUUAUUAUCAAGAUAUAAAACAACAGGAUAUCAUCAGAUGAAUACUGCACUGCAGUUCAAGAAUAUGAAGGAAAAAUAGUUGAGACUUGACAAGAACAAAAAGGGGUUAUGAAAUUAAAAAUAAAAAAUUACUCUAAAGAACAUGACUCUUUGCAUCCUCUAUUCUUUCACGUGCCCUUGACUUUUGCAUAUUCCUGAACUGUUACAUACUGUCUUUAUUUUCCACAGUCUCUGGGUCAAGAAUUUGCUCUGCCAUGAAUCUAAGAAACACCAAAUACCACUUUGGGACUCUCUAUAAAAAUAUCGAUUUAAUAUUAAAACACUUCAUAGAGAAAUUAUAUUCCAGCCCAGUGCUUUGUGCACAAUAAAAUUAUUUUAUGUUAUAUCCUAUUAUCUUAGCUUGUAUUAGAAUGUUCAGGAAGAAAUGUUGCUGGAGAAAUCAAACAGUUAUCUUUUAGAAGGAACACGGCUACACUUUUAGCAUUCGCAUUUUAAUGGAAGAUAUAAUAUUUCUAUUGUUUCACCUGUCUUAAAAUAAAUAGCAAGAACUCCACAGUUUAGCUUUAUCUUAUAAAACAAACUAAGCAAAACAAAUCAAAACUAAGCUACUGCUUUGGAGUAAGUUAAUGAAUACAUAAUUAAAGUCUCCUGGAUUCUCCUUAUUUUGAGAGCAUCCUUUAAAACGUGGUGCGUAUUUAAGGGACUACUCCUGAAAAAAUACUUCUCAAUAAAAAGAUAAAAAUAAAUAGAAGCAGAGAUCAAAAUUAAAGAGCUUUAAGCUAUGAAAAUAUUGACUUCAUGACCAGAAUUUGAUAUUUAUUUAUAGCUCAAAAUCACAUAUUUUUAUGCCCCUGUCAAAAGUAUAAAGUCUAUCACUAAAACGAAGUUGGCAAUGCAUUAAUAUGUACCAAAGCAAAUACAAAAACCUUUGAAAAAGAAAGUAAGUUCUCUAUAUUAUUUCCUCUCUUUACUAUCUAAUUCAAUUCUAUCAACAGGAGGUUGACCUAACCACACCAUCAUAGUGACUCAAAUCCUACAAAAUAAUCAAGUCAAGGAAGUUCUUAAAAUAAUAGAAAACACGGUCUGAUUUAUUGUCCCAUGAACAUAGGGUAAAUUUUACUUUCACUAUUUUCUUGAAAGACCAAACGGUGUUAGAUUUUUCUUAUCAUUAAGAGACGUUCAUCAACCACCAGCUUAUACAAAGGAAGUAAACCUAAAACUUUAUUUCCCUCCCUCCCCACCUCUUCGAAAUUACACAAAGAAGCCAAGACACCUCACACAACUCUAAAACCCAACUCUGUUGGGUCAUUUAUGUAUGUAUUACAAGGUAGUUGCAUAAGGUCAGGGGCAUAACUGGUCACAAUUAACUUAUUUGACACAAUAGGGAAAAGUAUUUGAAAUGCUAAAAACAACAUGCAGAGGCAGACAGAGAAAGACAUACUGAAAUAUGCACAAAGACCAACUUUUUUGUUUUUCUUCUUAAGAAGAAAGUCUGGACAAGAUUCGUUUCAUUAUGACAAGACCAACCAUAAAAUAGCUACAAGCUUAAGAAGAAGAAUGGACAAAUACAAAUUUAUUUUAUAGCUGACAAGAAAUUAAUUUAUAAAUGUAAUUAACUUCAAUUUUUAAUAACUCAAAAACAUGUCACAGAUAAAUUAGUGUAGUGACUAUUUCAUUUUUCCAUGGAUGAAUUUAAUGCAGUGAAAUAACUGCUAUGGCGCAUCUAUUCCUCCUGAUAAUCUUGUUAUACUAAUUUAGAUAGACACAAAUUUAGUUUUCUUAGUUUAUAGAAAAAGUCAUGCAUCAAAUCUGCACUGAUAUGUAACUAAGUUCACAGAAUGGCUGAGGUUAGGAGGGACCUCUGGAGGCAUCUGGUCCAACCCCUGCUCAAGCAGGGCCACCCAGAGCAGGGUGCCCAGGACCAUGUCCAGGCAGCUUUUGAAGAUCUCCAAGGAAGAGACUGCACAACUUCUCUGGGCAACCUGUGCCGGUGCUCCGUCACCUGCACAGUACAGAAGUGCUUCCUGAUGUCCAGAUGGAACCUCCUGUUUCUCAUUUUGUGACCACUGCCUCUUGUCCUGUCAAAAUUUUAAUCCCAAAAUAAGGUCAGAGUAUUUUCAUGAGAUAGAAAAUA